CAGUAGCCGCGGUAAUACAGAGGGUGCGAGCGUUAAUCGGAUUUACUGGGCGUAAAGCGUGCGUAGGCGGCUUCUUAAGUCGGAUGUGAAAUCCCUGAGCUUAACUUAGGAAUUGCAUUCGAUACUGGGAAGCUAGAGUAUGGGAGAGGAUGGUAGAAUUCCAGGUGUAGCGGUGAAAUGCGUAGAGAUCUGGAGGAAUACCGAUGGCGAAGGCAGCCAUCUGGCCUAAUACUGACGCUGAGGUACGAAAGCAUGGGGAGCAAACAGGAUUAGAUACCCCGGUAGUCCUGUCUCUUAUACA
rnacentral:rRNA from 1 species